GGGCCGGUCGUCCAGCACGGUAGGACGCCGCCCUUACGCGGCGGAAGUCGCCGGUUCAAGUCCGGCCCGGCCCACCA
rnacentral:tRNA from 1 species